rnacentral:lncRNA from 1 species
UUUCCAUGCAAACAAGUAUUUGGAGGCACAUCCCAAGCAUCUGGGCAGGUAUGGGAAAUUGAAAAUAAACUUGGAAGAAGUUCUUUGAAGUCAAAUGCACAAGUCAAAAUGUGAAAAUUACUUUUUGACACAGCUGAUUCCUGCUUUUUUCCUUGUGAGGUUACAUAAACCAGAGUAAUCUAAAGUACUCCAGAAGAUGAAGGAGAAUAUUUUAAACCUGUUUUCCCUUGCUUUACAUUGAUGUAAAAGACUGUGAGAGGUGGAAAGCAGCAGUGGCCUGGGCCUCUCCCAUCCUGACUUCCCGCUAAGGAAGUAACCUCUCAAUCAGUGCCUGACCAAUUCCUUCACUGAUCUGAAAACCAAAGAUAACUUCUCUGUACAUAGUAGGCUAUCUCUGUUGUUGCAGAAGGGACAGCAGAUUAACAGCUCAUCCCUGAAAAGCUACUCGGUUAUGCUGUAUCAUCUGAAGGCGAGGAGCUACAAAGUUCUUCAUACCCUGCAUUCUGAAAAGACACCGAGUUGCAAACCUUCACAUUUGCAAAGAAGAAUACCUAAGAGUUGGAAAUAAAGCGAAAGCUUCCUCCCUGCCUCCUGCCCUCUCUUCCUUCCUUCUUUCCUCCCUCCCCAAAAUAAAGUGGCAUUUUGCUCUAUUCCCACUGAAAAAUCCCCCAUCUGCUUCUCCUGCUUGCAGCAGGAGAGGAGGGAAAAGGCUGUGUUAUGAACUUGGUCCCAGUAGAGAUGGUACACUGCACCGACACGCUCCCGUGGACUCCAGCAAGGAAAGAAAACGACGCUGCAGGGUCAGUUAACCCCUACUCCUUAUAAACUGUGUGGAAUUACCUGUAAAUGUGCAUGUGGUAGUACAGGACUGUAGGAGUUUUCAUGACAAGAACUGUAUUUUGUGUGAUUCAAACCCACCAUCAACAUGAAACUUUUUAAAGACAUAUUUUUGGCCUGGGCUCUAAUAGUCUCAUGAGGUGGCUUAGCUCAGCAGUGGCUUUAUGGCAACAGCAAAACACAUACUUCCAACAUUGUACAUGAGGAUUUUCAAGGCUUUUAAUGAAUUGCCUGUAGUUUAUACUAUAGUUUUGCCCAUGAUCCUUUUCCAAUACAACCAACUGGUGGAAUGACCAUCCACGCAUUGUUCCUCAUACAGAAUUGCCUGAUUGUGUGAUCACAAGGGAAAACAUUUACAUCAGAACAAGUAUAUAUUUGUCUGCAAGAGUAUGCAGUUAACUAAGGCACUGAUUUUUUAACUGGGCAUGUGAGGAAGGAACCUCAGUCCUCUUGUAUUACUAAAUUGGUGUACCAUAUGGGUCCUGAUGAAAACCAAUAAACUCUUAUUGUUAAGUGUCUGAGUUGUAAAA